rnacentral:rRNA from 1 species
CAGUAGCCACGGGAACACGUAGGGUGCGAGCGUUAAUCGGAAUUACUGGGCGUAAAGCGUGCGCAGGCGGUUUUGUAAGACAGGCGUGAAAUCCCCGGGCUCAACCUGGGAAUGGCGCUUGUGACUGCAAAGCUAGAGUGCGGCAGAGGGGGAUGGAAUUCCGCGUGUAGCAGUGAAAUGCGUAGAUAUGCGGAGGAACACCGAUGGCGAAGGCAAUCCCCUGGGCCUGCACUGACGCUCAUGCACGAAAGCGUGGGGAGCAAACAGGAUUAGAUACCCGGGUAGUCCCUGUCUCUUAUAA